CUCCAGCCUGGAAACACUGGCAGGCAGUCUGAAAACGUCAAGGUCGGUCGUGGAAUCGGGCUCGAGCCAGGAACACCGAGAGACAAGCGGAAUGUGCACGCCCUUCAAGAUGCCGCACGCAAUUUAGCUGGCUGGUCGGCGUUGUGUCGCAGACGACACUUGCAAUCACGAGGCCACUCGAAGCGAACAGUGCAGUGGAUUGGAUUGGAUCAGAUUGAAUUUCUCAUUCCAGCUGGCUGGUCGGCGUUGUGACGCAGACGACACUUGCAGUCACGAGGCCACUCGAAGCGAACUGUGCAAUGGAUUGGAUUGGAUCAGAUUGGAUUUCUCAUUCGGGCGAACAGAAAACGUGACACGGCACGUUCUGUGGGCAUGUUCCUCUUAGUAACAAACUAUAAUCUAUGAGUUUUCGAAAUGCGUCUCGGUGUGUACUUUGCAUUUGCGUGGAACGAUUAUGCAGUGCCAUAUUACUUUUCCUGCUUGCGAGAGUAGGGCCAUUCGUAGGAUGGAUUUCCUGUAGCUUUUGUUUCGAUAUGCCGUACAAAGGUCGUUCCGAUGGAACUCCCUAUCCCACUUAUCAGUAAAAGCAACAGCAAAUUCUAGAGCUGUAUGUCACUGAGUCCGGCGUGUUACUGAUAAUAAAUGCUGCACCCUGUGCCUU